UACAGAGGGUGCGAGCGUUAAUCGGAAUUACUGGGCGUAAAGGGCGCGUAGGUGGUUAAGUAAGUGAGAUGUGAAAGACCUGGGCUUAACCUGGGAAAGGCAUCUGAUACUGCGGAACUAGAGUAGGGUAGAGGGGAGUGGAAUUUCCGGUGUAGCGGUGAAAUGCGUAGAUAUCGGAAGGAACACCAGUGGCGAAGGCGGCUCCCUGGACCCUAACUGACACUGAGGCGCGAAAGCGUGGGGAGCGAACAGG
rnacentral:rRNA from 1 species